rnacentral:rRNA from 1 species
AUUGAACGCUGGCGGCAGGCCUAACACAUGCAAGUCGAACGGAUGGAGGAGGGGUGAGUAGGGUCGGGGAAACUGCCUAAUGGAGGGGGCUGACUACGGGAAACGGUAGCUAAUGCCGCAUACCAUCGUAUGUGCCCAGGUGGGAUUAGCUAGUAGGUGGGGUAAAGGCUCACCUAGGCGAAGAUCCCUAGCUGACCUGAGAGGAUGACCGGCCACACUGGAACUGAGACACGGUCCAGACUCCUACGGGAGGCAGCAGUGGGGAAUAUUGCACAAUGGGCGAAAGCCUGAUGGAGCCAUGCCGCGUGAAUGAAGAAGGUUUUCGGGUUGUAAAGUACUUUCAGCAGGGAAGCGGUACCUGACCAAGAAGCACCGGCUAACUCCGUGCCAGCAGCCGCGGUAAUAC